rnacentral:rRNA from 1 species
AUCGGAAGUAAAAGUCGUAACAAGGUUUCCGUAGGUGAACCUGCGGAAGGAUCAUUCAUAAUAAGUGUUUUACUGCACUUUUUAAAAAUCAGUAUUCACCUUGUGUGCAACGUUUGGUGACGAGUUCGUGUUUUUACGCGUUCUUGGCAGCAUAAUACCAACCCUUUAUUGAAAUUUUUUGUCUGAAGAUUUUUUGAAUACAUAAUUAGAAAUACAACUUUUAACAACGGAUCUCUUGGCUCUCGCAUCGAUGAAGAACGCAGCGAAAUGCGAUACGUAAUAUGAAUUGCAGAAUUCAGUGAAUCAUAGAAUCUUUGAACGCACAUUGCACUGUAUGGUAUUCCGGAGAGUAUGCUUGUUUGAGUAUCUGUAAACAUCUCAAAUCUCUCGACUCUCGAGUCUGAGAGAAUUGGACUUGAGCAAUCCCAACUCCUUCGUCAGAAAGAGGAGGGUUGCUUGAAAUGCAGGUGCAGCUGGGCAUUGUUCUCAGGUAAAAGCAUAUUUAUUUAGUCCCGUCAAACGGAUUAUUAUUUGUGCUUCAGUUUACAUAAAGGUUGAAUGACUACCGAGGCUGAUUGCAGGUAAACUCGUUCCGUCAAAAAGAACUUGGAACUCGAUCUCAAAUCAG